rfam:Picea glauca, whole genome shotgun sequence.
UUCAUGGAGAGUUUGAUCCUGGCUCAGGAUGAAUGUUGGUGGCAUGAUUAACACAUGAAAUUCGGAUGGGAAGUGGUUUUUCUAGUUGAGGACGGGCGAGUAAUGCGUAAGAACCUUCCCUUGGGAGGGGAACAACAACUAGAAACGACUGCUAAUACCCCAUAGGCUUAGGAGAAAAAGGAGGAAUCCGCGCAAGGAGGGGCUCACAUCUGAUUAGUUAUUUGGUGAGGCAAUGGCUUACCAAGGUGAUGAUUAGUAGCUGGUCCGAGAGGAUGAUCAGCCACACUAGGACUGAGACACGACCUAGACUCCUACGGGAGGCAGUAGUGGGGAAUUUUCCGCAAUGGGUGAAAUCCUGACGGAGCAACGUCGCGUGAAGGAAGAAGGCCCACAGUUCCUGAACUUCUUUUCUUGGAGAAGAAACAAUGACAGUAUCUGAGGAAUAAGCAUCGACUAACUCUGUUCUAGUAGCCGCGGUAAGACAGAGGAUGCAAGCGUUAUCCAAAAUGAUUGGGCGUAAAGCGUCUAUAGGUGGAUUUUCAAGUCCUCCGUCAAAUCCCAAGCCUCAAACCUAGAUAGGUAGUGGAAACUACCAAACUGGAGUAUGGUAGGGGCAGAGGGAAUUUUCAGUGGAGCGAUGAAAUGUGUUGAGUUUGGAAAGAACACCAAUGGCGAAAGAACUCUAUUGGGCUGACACUGACACUGAGAGAUGAAAGAUAGGGGAGAAAAUGGGGUUAGAUACCCUAGUAGUCCUAGCCGUAAACAAUGAUACUAAGUGGUGUGUGUAUUGACCCGCCUAGUGUUGUAGCUAACGUGUUAAGUAUCCCACCUGGGGAGUACAUUCACAAGAAUGAAACUCAAAGGAAUUGAUGAGGGCCCACACAAGCAGUGGAGCAUGUGGUUCAAUUUGAUGCAAAGUGAAGAACCUUACCAGGGCUUGACAUGCCAUGAAUCCUCCCAAAAGAGAGGAGUUCCUUCAGGAACGCAGACACACUUGGUGCAUGGAUGUCAUCAGAUUGUGCCAUAAGGUGUUGGGUUAAGUCUUGCAACAAGCGCAACCCUCGUAUUUAGUUGCCAACAUUGAGUUUAGAACCCUGAACAGACUGUCGAUGAUAAGCCGGAGGAAGGUGAGGAUGACAUCAAGUUAUCAUGCCCCUUACGCCCUAGGCGACACACAUGCUACAAUGAUUGGGACAAAGGGUUUCAACCCCAUGAUGGCAAGCUAACCUCAAAAACCCAACCUCAGUUCGGAUUGCAGGCUGAAAAUUGCCUGCAUGAAGCCAGAAUCACUAUUAAUCAUUGGUCUUCCAUACAAUGGUGAAUCCGUUCCUGGGCCUUGUACACACCGCCCGUCACACUAUGGGAGUUGGCCAUGCCCCAAGUCGUUACCUUAACUACAAGGAGGGGGACACCGAAGGCUGGGGUAUUGACUGGAGUGAAGUCGUAACAAGGUAGCCAUACUGGAAGGUGCGGCUGGAUGACCUCCUUU